rnacentral:RNase_P_RNA from 1 species
CAUAUGCGCUCUAUCGCUGACACGUUUCGUGUUUGAGGAAAGUCCGAGCAACAUAGAGCACCACGCAAGUUAAUGGCUUGAUGUCCGUGAGGGUAUAGUAACGCAGAAGAAAAUAACCGCCCGUAAGGGUAAGGGUGAGAAGGUGGGGUAAGAGCCCACCGCGAGGGUAGCAAUACGCCUCGGCUGUGCGUCUCGUGGGUUGCAAGACCGUGUAUACCGACAAUUAAGGGUUGCUCGUCCAAUGUCGGGGGGUAGGUUGCUGGAGGCGGCAAGUGAUUGUCGUCGUAGAUAAAUGAUAGAGGCCCGCAAGGGUACAGAACUCGGCUUAUAGCGUAUGAAAA